rnacentral:rRNA from 1 species
CUAGGGGGUGGCUUCCAUCUGGAAGAAUCUGGAGACAGGUGCUGCAUGGCUGUCGUCAGCUCGUGUCGUGAGAUGUUGGGUUAAGUCCCGCAACGAGCGCAACCCUUGCCUUUAGUUUGCCAGCAGUUCGGCUGGGCACUCUAAAGGGACUGCCGGUGUUAAACUGGAGGAAGGUGGGGAUGACGUCAAAUCAUCAUGCCCCUUAUGACCUGGGCUACAAACGUGAUACAAUGGCUGGAACAAAGGGAUGCGAAGCAGUGAUGUGGAGCGAAACCCAUAAAAACAGUCUCAGUUCGGAUUGAAGUCUGCAACUCGACUUCAUGAAGUCGGAAUCGCUAGUAAUCGCGGAUCAGAACGCCGCGGUGAAUACGUUCCCGGGCCUU